rnacentral:rRNA from 1 species
UACGGGGGGGGCAAGCGUUGUUCGGAAUUACUGGGCGUAAAGGGCUCGUAGGCGGCCAACUAAGUCGGAUGUGAAAUCCCCAGGCUUAACCUGGGAACUGCAUCCGAUACUGGUUGGCUUGAAUCCGGGAGAGGGAUGCGGAAUUCCAGGUGUAGCGGUGAAAUGCGUAGAUAUGUGGAGGAAUACCGGUGGCGAAGGCGGCCUCCUGGCUUAAUACUGACGCUGAGGUGCGAAAGCGUGGGGAUCAAACAGG